rnacentral:rRNA from 1 species
GACGUAGGGCGCGAGCGUUGUCCGGAUUUAUUGGGCGUAAAGAGCUCGUAGGCGGCUUGUUGCGUCGGCUGUGAAAACCCGCGGCUUAACCGUGGGCUUGCAGCCGAUACGGGCAGGCUAGAGUUCGGUAGGGGAGACUGGAAUUCUUGGUGUAGCAGUGAAAUGCGUAGAUAUCAAGAGGAACACCAGUGGCGAAGGCGAGUCCCUGGACAACACCUGACACUGAGGCACGAAAGCUAGGGGAGCAAACAGG